rnacentral:sRNA from 1 species
UCCCAAUACUUAGACU